CUAUAAAUGGCCGCUCUGGGAAUGUCUGUCUUAUGCGGUUGAGAUAAGGACUGAGAUACGCCCUGGUCUCCUGCAGUACCCAAAGGCUUACUAGGGUGGAGAAAAACUCCGCCCUGAUAUAUCUGUGGUCAGACUGCUUCUCUGCUCUUGAACCCUGUUUUCUGUUGUUUAAGAUGUUUAUCAAGACAAUACAUGCGUGAAUGAACAUAGACCCUUAUCAGUGGUUCUGCUUUUGCCCUUUGCUUUGUGAUCUUUGCUGGACACUUAUCAGUAGUUCUGCUUUUGCCCUUUGUCCUGUUCCCUCAGAAGCAUGUGAUCUUUGUUAGACCCUUAGUAGUAGUUCUGCUUUUUACCCUUUGAAGCAUGUGACCUUUGUACCUACUCCCUGUUCUUACACCCCCUCCCCUUUUGAAGCCCUUAAUAAAAACUUGCUCAUCUGAGACUCAGAGGGCAUCACAGUCCUACUAAUGUGUAAUGUGUAAUGUCACCCCCAGCAGCCCAGCUGUAAAAUUCUUCUCUUUGUAGUGUCUCUAUUUCUCAGCUGGCUGACACUUAUGGAAAAUAGAAAGAACCUACAUUGAAAUAUUGGGUGCAGGUUCCACCUAUACUUCUUUCAUGGAUUUACUUAUUUUUUGUUUGUCCCCCUCUGUAUCCUAGAAACUCCUAGAGGGCAGAGGCAUGCCUGCCAUCUUCAUCAUUGCAUUACCAUCACCCAACACUAUCAGGGGACCUGCCCUGAUAAUCAGACAUUUGAAAUUCUACAAUGAACUCAUCAGGGAUGCAAAUGAAAGUGCCUCUGCAGAGACAGAAAACCCGCAAUCGAGCAUCAUCGACUCGCAGGGUGAACAAAAUGGUGAUAUCAGAAGAACAGAUGAAGUUACAAUCCACCAAGGAAACUGCACAUGUGGAGAGUCAGGGAGAGGAAGAGAAAGAAAAAGAGACAGAGAUCAGAGAGAGACACAGAAAGUGAGACUGGGGAGAGAGAUAGUAUAAAAUAGAGAGAGAGAGAGAGACCGUAAGAGAAGGGAGACAAAGAGAUAAAAGGUGCGAGUGAGCAGGUGAGGAGAAAGACUGAAAACGAUGAGAAACAGCAACUAAGACACAAAGGAGGUGGGAGACUGCCCGGGUGCCACAGCACCCACACCGUCCUCUUGCCCCCGUCACUUGGGUUAAAACCACCGGAAAUUCCACUAUUGCAAAUUUUGUAUUAAUCCUUGUAUAUCUGUCCUUUCUAUUUUUAGUCUACAGUUGUAUCCAGCAGCUCCAGAGAGACAGCGACCAGCAAGAAGGGGCCAUGAUGAUGGUGGUGGUUUUUUCAAAACGAAAAGGGGGAUAUGUAGGGAAAAGAAAGAGAGAUCAGACUCUUACAGACUCUUACUGUGUCUACAUAGAAAGGGAAGACAUAAGAGACUCCAUUUGGAAAAAGACCUGUACUUUAAACAAUUGCUUUGCUGAGAUGUUGUUAAUCUGUAGCUUUGCCCCAGCCACUUUGCCCCAACCACUUUGACCCAGUCUGGAGCUCACAAAAACAUGUGUUGUAUGAAAUCAAGGUUUAAGGCAUGUAGGGCUGUGCAGGAUGUGCCUUGUUAACCAAAUGUUUGCAAGCAGUAUACUUGGUAAAAGUCAUCACCAUUCUCUUGUCUCAAUAAACCAGGGGCACAAUGCACUGUGGAAAGCCGCAGGGACCUCUGCCCUUGAAAGCUGGGUAUUAUUCAAAGUUUCCCCCCAUGUGAUAGUCUGAAAUAUGGCCUCGUGGGAUGAGAAAGGCCUGACGGUCCCCUAGCCCGACACCCAUAAAAGGUCUGUGCUGAGGUGGAUUAGUCAAAGAGGAAAGACUCUUGCAUUUGAGAUAGAGGAAGGCCACUGUCUCCUGCCUGCCCCUGGGAACUGAAUGUCUCGGUAUAAAACACGAUUGUACAUUUGUUCAAUUCUGAGAUGGGAGAAAAACCGCCCUAUGGUGGGAGGUGAGACAUGUUUACAGCAAUACUGCCUUGAUAUUCUUUACUCCACUGAGAUGUUUGGGUGGAGAGAAACAUAAAUCUGGCUUACAUGCACGUUCAGUCAUAGUACCUUCCCUUGAACUUCAUUAUGACAUAGAUUCUAUUGCUCACAUGUUUGUUGCUGACCUUCUUAUUAUCACCCUGCCCUCCUACUACAUUCCUUUUUGCUGAAAUAAUAAAGAUAGUAUUCAAUAAAAACUGAGGGAACUCAGAGACCGGUGCCAGUGCAGGUCCUUGGUAUGCUAAGCGCCGGUACCCUGGGCCCACUGUUGUUUCUCUAUACUUUGUUUCUGUGUCUGAUUUCUUUUCUGUCUCUCAUCCCACCCAACAAGAAAUACCCACAGGUGUGGAGGGGCAGGCCACCCCUUCAGUAUGAG
rnacentral:lncRNA from 10 species